rnacentral:rRNA from 1 species
AGGACGAACGCUGGCGGCGUGCUUAACACAUGCAAGUCGAGCGGAAAGGCCCUUCGGGGUACUCGAGCGGCGAACGGGUGAGUAACACGUGAGUAACCUGCCCUAGGCUUUGGGAUAAUCCUCGGAAACGGGGGCUAAUACCGAAUAUUC